rnacentral:rRNA from 1 species
UAUCAAUAAGCGGAGGAAAAGAAACCAACAGGGAUUGCCUCAGUAACGGCGAGUGAAGCGGCAGCAGCUCAAAUUUGAAAUCUGGCCCCUAGGGGCCCGAGUUGUAAUUUGCAGAGGAUGUUUCUGGCGAGGCGCCUUCCGAGUUCCCUGGAACGGGACGCCGUAGAGGGUGAGAGCCCCGUACGGUUGGACGCUAAGCCUCUGUGAAACUCCUUCGACGAGUCGAGUAGUUUGGGAAUGCUGCUCUAAAUGGGAGGUAUACGUCUUCUAAAGCUAAAUACCGGCUAGAGACCGAUAGCGCACAAGUAGAGUGAUCGAAAGAUGAAAAGCACUUUGAAAAGAGGGUUAAAUAGUACGUGAAAUUGUUGAAAGGGAAGCGCUCAUGACCAGACUUGGGGCGGUCGAUCACCCGCCGUUCUCGGCGGUGCACUCGGCCGGCCCAGGCCAGCAUCAGUUUGGCCCGGGGGACAAAGGCGCCGGGAACGUGGCUCCCUCCGGGGAGUGUUAUAGCCCGGCGCGCAAUACCCUGGGCUGGACUGAGGUACGCGCUCCGCAAGGAUGCUGGCGUAAUGGUCAUCAGCGACCCGUCUUGAAACACGGACCAAGGAGUCGUCUUCGUAUGCGAGUGUUCGGGUGUCAAACCCCUACGCGGAAUGAAAGUGAACGUAGGAGAGAGCUUCGGCGCAUCUCCGACCGAUCCUGAUGUUCUCGGAUGGAUUUGAGUAAGAGCAUACGGGGCCGGACCCGAAAGAAGGUGAACUAUGCCUGUAUAGGGUGAAGCCAGAGGAAACUCUGGUGGAGGCUCGCAGCGGUUCUGACGUGCAAAUCGAUCGUCAAAUAUGGGCAUGGGGGCGAAAGACUAAUCGAACCUUCUAGUAGCUGGUUUC